CUCUCGACAUUUCACCCACCCUCUCCAACUCUCUCUGGUUAACUGCACUUUCACGGGUGACCGGAGUUUCGCCGGAGCCGUACGGAGCUUGACGGGACUCCUUUCGUUACGUCGACCUCGAGUCGUUAUGUGUUCGAUCACAACCUAUCGGAGGAACCCGCAAAUCACCGGAGCCAGCCGGAGAGAUCAAAGUCUUCACCGGAGAUCGGAGGUGACAACUGAAGCCACGAUAGGAAGAUAAACGUAUCAUUUGGAAUUCUCCAUUCUUACUCGUGCAUUACUUACAAGAAAUCGCAACGCACCCAAUGUGAGUAUACUUGAUCCCAUUUUUAUUUUAUCACUUUUGGGUGCAACAUGUAUUCUAUAUAAAAACACGCAACGCUUGAAACUUGUUAUAUGCACACUCUAUCCAUUUUUAAACAUGAAACAAUUUGAUGCUUGUUAAUCUUGUAUGCUAUGCAAACAUUUCGUGUCUAUAUGCUCAUUAACCUGGCUAAACUUGUGAGACUUGUGAAACUUGUGAGACUUGUUAGACUUCUUAUACUUAUUUACGCACCGCCCUUGAGUAAGUCUUGGGGUGUUUGCGUUGGAAACUUGUGAGACUUGUGAAACUUCUUAUACUUAUUUAUGCACCGCCCUUGAGUGAGUCUUGGGGUGUUUGCGUUGGAAACUUGUGAGACUUGUGAAACUUCUUAUACUUAUUUACGCACCGCCCUUGAGUGAGUCUUGGGGUGUUUGCGUUGGAAACUUGUGAGACUUGUUAGACUUCUUAUACUUAUUUACGCACCGCCCUUGAGUGAGUCUUGGGGUGUUUGCGUUGGAAACUUGGGUUUGACAUAUAGUGACACCGUUUCAGCAUAUUAGUAACUUGUAUUAUGUUGUUCAUGUUGGAUAUGAGUAUUUAAACUUUUUAUCCUACUUUACGCUAUGUAUCAAACCUGUAUACUCGCCAACUUUUUGUUGAUGUUAUUUUAAUACAUGUUGCAGGUUGAUAGUCAAGAUGAUGAAGGAAUCAAGUUAGGAUGGACUAGAUACCCACUUUAAUAAUAAAUCAUGUUUGUUGUAAUUUGUCUUUAUUUGAAACAAUGUAUUAUUCUUUAGUUUUAAUAAAAUGAUUUAAUUCAUAUUGUCACAUUUAGUGUUAUGUUGUUUUGAGCAAUUUGUUCGUCUCAUCCCGAUGUUUCCGCCAUCGGUUGGGGUGUGACAGAUUGGUAUCAGAGCCAUAACUAUAGGGAAUUAGGUAGGAUUACCUUACUUUUCCCUAGUCUAUAGUAGGAGUACUCUGAUACCAGAUUGGUAUCAGAGCCAUAACUAUAGGGAAUUAGGUAAAUUGCUAUACUUUUCCCUUGUUUAUAGUAGUACUCUGAUACCAGAUUGGUAUCAGAGCCAUAACUAUAGGGAAUUAGGAAUGCCUUGCCUAGUCUAUAGUUUAGGAGCUUAUUCACUAUGUGUUGCUUAAAACAACUUCCUUUCUAUCUUCUUUGCUUCCCUCUACUUUCUUGGACUUUUAAUAUACAUGUCUUUCCUAAGGCUAACACAAUACACUUGGAAGCUUUGAUGACAAUCAUGUAACACAAUCGAAAAGAUUCGUCAAGAUAGGGGUGAUUCCCACACUUGGUGAUGACUUUCACUUAGCUAUACUUUGAUUUUGCACGAAAUCUACCCUCAAGUUAGGAGUGAUAUCCAAACCUUGAAGGGAGCUUUCCAUUUCAUACUCUAGUGGACCCUUAUCUUUUGAUAAGUACCAACCACACUAGGGUACGAUGUUAUCAAGUUAGAGGUGAAACUCGCAUCUUGUUUAACUAGUCCCACUCCUUGAUUUUCAACUCUCGCCAAAGUUUCGAUUUUCCAAAUCGAUUGAGGACGUGUAGUAACUGGAAGGACAAAUAUCGUUAGUCGCUUCUCGAUGAGAGUAUUUGUCUAUUAGGCCAAAACACGGUUCCUUAAUUCGAAAAGGACUUCGAUUUACUUUGGAAUAGUCUUAUGUUUCGUUCCGUGACAAUCCAAUUUUUAUGUUAAAUUUUUUUUAUGCUAUCUCAAUUUUCAUGUGUUUUACAUUUGCACGUUAUAUCAUUUCAAUUUUAAUACAUGCAUACUAAUAUGUUAUACUGGAUUCGUGUCGUUGGGUUAUUCUUAUGUGAUGAACUUGUCCUUUAACCCACACCUUAACAUGUAUAGCACUAUGCGUAGUGCUAUAGGAGUCGCGCCCGCCCGUAUUCUAGUGGUCAUGUUAAGUCUUUCAAUUGCGGUACACGAUGGGUUGACAUGUUUAUUCACAUGCCAGUGAUACGUUAGUUUGGUUAACAAAGUAUGUCAUGUGGAUUGUUCUACAUUUUAUUCUAAUACUCAUAUUUCCCAAAAAUGUAAGCUUAUCAUCAAGAUAGGAGUGAUUUCCUUACCUUGACGAUUAGCUUCGCUCAAUUUUCAACUUCACCAAUGAGCUAGGGGUGAUUUCCUUACCUCGGAGGUAGUUACCAUUACCAACUCUUCUUUAUUCUCAAUGAAACUUUAUAUUUGAGCGUUACUUUCAUUUAAAGCUUGGAGACACGAAUCGCACUAUCUUCGCAAUCUAAAACAAAUAAUGAUAAUCUUUGGCGAACAAACUAAAUUUACGAUGCUUCCAUUAUCUAUGUUACACUACGUGGAAUUCAUGAUAUUGCUAUGUGGAACUAAUUGAACCUUUUACAUGCUAUGUGAAAGAAUAUGCUAUGUGGAAUUAUUUGAAACUAUAUGCUAUGUGACGCAUUCAUGAAAACAAUUUUUUUUUUGAAGCUUUAAAUGCCACUUUUUCCAAAACUCUUACUCUUAGAUUUCGAGGACGAAAUCUCCUAAAGUAGGGGAGACUGUAACAUCCGUCAAAAUGGGCUUCCAAAAAUCCGACCCAUUGAAUUUUGAUCCUAAUCCUUGAAACUCGGAAAUUUUUGCUGCGAAUUAAAUAACCGUCGAAAGAUUUUUUUUUAAAUUAAUUAUCAACAUGGUUAAUUAUUUAUUUAGUUAAUCUAAAUAAUGAUAAUAAUCCUUUGAAAUUUAAAGUUUUUUUAUAAACUAGUAAGUUAAAACGAGUCGUUGUUAAUCUAAAUUAUAACCAGUUAGUUCAGUUAGUAUAACUAUAGGGACUAAAUUUAACGUUUCAAAGAUUAAAAGAAAUGAUAAUAAUAUACUUUUAUUAAUAAAACUUAACCAUUAAUAAAAUUAGAAACCUUGAUACAGGUUUUCAAGGAUUAUAAAAGUUUCCUUUAAACAUACAAGUUUCUUUUACAAGUGAAAGAUUGACUUUUUUUUUUUGAAUUGCUUCAUUGCCGCCAACUGUAAAGGUGCAUGACAACUUUCAUUUAGAUAAUUUGUAGAAGCUAAUUUGUAUCUCUUUUGUUUUUCUCACCACAUAUCAUUCCAUUUCGGAGUUUCCUUUUAAAACCUUCGCCACUUUUUCGGCCGAGUAACUGCCGCUAUUAUUUUCUUUUUAAACUUUCGCAUGAUUUUCGGAAACUUUAAUCACCAAAACGGGAUUUCAGAAACGCGUUUUCGGAACUCUAUAAAACCGAAACUUUUUCAUCUCGACACCCUCACAACCCUCUCGACAUUUCACCCACACUCUCCAACUCUCUCUGGUUAACUGCACUUUCACGGGUGACCGGAGUUUCGCCGGAGCCGUACGGAGCUUGACGGGACUCCCUUCGUUACGUCGACCUCGAGUCGUUAUGUGUUCGAUCACAACCUAUCGGAGGAACCCGCAAAUCACAGGAGCCAGCCGGAGAGAUCAAAGUCUUCACCGGAGAUCGGAGGUGACAACUGAAGCCACGACAGGAAGUCACGGCUAAAACGUAUUCGGUAUACCUUUCUGUUUCCUGGCAUAUGUUCGUUUUUCUCAUAUAUAAACUAGAGGCAAUGGCUAGCAUUAAUGAAUCAUGAAUUUAAAGUUACAAAUGUGUGUAUAUAUAUAAACUGUGUGUAUGGUCUUUUUUAGAAAGAAGAUCACAACUUUUGUCAUUACUU
rnacentral:lncRNA from 1 species